rnacentral:lncRNA from 1 species
GGUGGGACCAGAUCCCAGCAAACCUGAGCGCCUGAGUCCAGCUCCACAUGCUGCUGCAAAUGUGCCAUGAGGGCUUUUGAAGGCACAGGCCAAAGCAGUUUUACCAAUCUUACUGGAAAAAUGAAGCAAGUCACAAGGUCUACCUUCUAUGCUGUUACUGGCUGGAGUCCACCUGUCACCCAGCAGUGAAGACUAACAGCCUCGCCUGACACUCCCUCAGCUCCCGGAGCGAUACCAACAACCACAAAACCCUAAAGAGUCCCUGGGAUGCAGCUGUCUCUAGACCCCUUGACAAAGACAGCGAGGCUCAUCGUGGUAAGACCAGCUCCAGUUGGCCACUGAGGGGCUCAGUCCUGCAACUUCAAGGAAUCAAGUCUGACAACAAUUGUGCAACCUGGAAGGUACUUCUGAGCUCCAGAAGGAACACAGCCUGCCGGCCCCUUGAUUGCAGCCUUGGGAGACCCUGAGCAGAGGACCCAGCCAGGCGAAGCCCGGCUUCUGGCUUAGGUUUUAAGCUUUCCCCUCAUGUUGACCCAGGAGCCCAAAGGCAGAAGAAACUACAGGAAGUAGCAACACUGAGCCAGACCCCCGUGUGACA